CUUAAUCUCAUCCUCGUUGAUUUAAAUUUGCGUGAUGCGAUCUGGUAUCUCUGCUGAUUUCACUAAAUUAAUAGUGAUCUUUUUUUAUCCUGGAGAAGGCGAAGGCGGAGGGACGUUAGUUUGCGCUGGCUGUUUAAAUGCCAUCGAUGAGGAUGAAUUUGUUCAGGCGUUAAACCAGGAAUGGCAUAUCGAUUGCUUUCGGUGUUCUGCUUGCGAUGCUUCCCUGUCUUCUUGGUAUUUUGAGAAAGAUGGACUCUUAUUUUGUAAAGAAGACUAUUGGGCUGCAUAUGGAGAAGCCUGUCAGGGUUGCGGCCACAUCAUUACGGGACCAGUAAUGUUGGCCGGAGAUCACAAAUUUCAUCCAGAAUGUUUUGCUUGCAAUUUCUGUGGUACCUUUAUUGGAGAUGGAGAGAGUUAUGCUCUUGUCGAGAGGUCUAAACUUUAUUGUGGCAUCUGUUACAAGAGACAAAUGCAGCCUCUCAACAAAACGGCAAAUUAUCCAUUCAUCAGAAAACCACACAGUAUAAGACUGGUAGAGAUUCCUCCCAACACCACUGAUCCUGAAAAAGAAAGAGGAAUUAAACUCACUUUGGAUACGACCCCCAGUCCACGAAGCGGAGGCAGUGCAUUACUGCGCAUUUCGGAGUUAAUAAGAAAUGUUCGUGGAAAGAUCAGUAAGCUGGUGGCCUCCGUGAUGGAGGUUCUGUUUAGGCUAUGCUGCCACUUCUCUAAUCAUAGAUUAAACAUGUCCAAUGAUCUUAUGUCUCUGCAUAUCGGAGACAGAAUCCUGGAAGUAAAUGGGACACCUGUCAAGGAGCAACCUAUAGAAAACAUCGAACAUCUAAUUAGAUAUUCAGAUACCGUUCUGCAGUUAACGAUAGAACACGAUCCGGACGCAGUGUCACGACGACCUUCGUUUCCAAGUGCCUCUUCAUCUAUGUUGACAACUACCGUGAGUCCAAGAACGAGUCCAGACGGCAAAGAAAGAUUAUUCAAACGUCGUGAUGAAGGUUAUAUCAGCGGAACAAGAAGUAGACAGCUGCGAAGGACCAGGGAUCCUGCGAACAAAGAGCGUAGCAGUUCCAUGUCCCGAUUACUCGAUGGUUCUUCGCCAACAAACACAUGCGACUUGAGUCGUACCAGGUCAUUCCGAGUGGAACCGAAGAACCAAAGGAUCUUCCGAGCCAGUGAUUUGGUAAAGGGAGAACUUCUGGGCAAAGGUUUUUUCGGUCAAGUAUAUAAAGUGACACAUCGGGACACAAAUGAGGUUAUGGUCUUGAAAGAGUUGUAUAGGGUAGACGAAGAGGCUCAGAAAAACUUUUUGAAAGAGGUGGCGGUUUUGAGGUCAUUACAUCACAAUAAUGUGCUUCGAUUCAUCGGUGUGCUUUACAAGGAUAAGAAGCUUCAUCUCGUUACCGAAUAUAUAUCCGGAGGUACAUUGAGAGCUUUGCUUCACGAUACCAAUGAGCUUCUCCCCUGGGAACAGCGCACAUCGUUCGCAAAAGAUAUCGCCGCUGGCAUGGCUUAUCUGCAUUCCAUGAAUAUUAUCCACCGAGACUUAAAUUCCCACAAUUGUUUGGUACGAGAAGACAAGACUGUGGUGGUCGCAGACUUCGGUCUAGCUAGGAUAAUCCAAAGCGGAAAUUCCCCCGACAAGCGACCCUGCAGCAGGCAUUCAGAGGGUGAAACUCGAAACUCGAAGAAAGAACGGAAGAAACGAUACACCGUUGUCGGAAAUCCAUACUGGAUGGCUCCAGAGAUGAUGAAGGGCAACAAGUACGAUGAGAAGGUGGACAUCUUCAGCUUCGGAAUAGUCGUAUGCGAGAUCAUAGGUCGCGUUCAAGCUGACCCUGAUUACCUGCCUCGGUCCUCGGACUUCGGCUUGAACCAGAACGUUUUCAGAGAGAAGUUCUGCACGAACUGCCCGGAAACCUUUUAUAGGAUUGCGUUUCUGUGCUGCGACUUGAAUCCGGAUAAGAGACCACCGUUCGAAGUCAUCGAAGUCUGGCUGGAAGGCCUGGCGAUGCAUUUGUCAGUGGGUGCGCCUUUACCGCCUGAUCUGGAACAUGAUAUUAAACAUUACACAGGACCGAGUCCGAAUAGCAGCGAGUCCACGACACCGGAGACUUUGGCUCCACAGCUUAAGCCGAUAAAGGAGGGUCAAGUACAUCAGGAAAAGAAGCGUUUUUGUGGUUGCGAUGACAGCACUCUAGAACGCGAACCGAGCCCCGUUAAUGACCUCAAGAAAUCACCGGAAGCGAUGAGUAACUUGGGGAGGUAUUCCAGGCAAAGCAGCAAAUCGAGUGAAAACUCAGGCUUAAGGUAUUCUAGGCAAAAUUCGAAGCCAAAAGAUGUGUCGGGGGAUAAGGAGAAACCCAGUCUUGUCAUCAGCGUUGAUCCUAGCGGGUUCAGUGGGCGAUAUUUGAGACAGAACAGUAAUAAAUCAAAGGACUCGUCACCCGUUGAAACGGCGAAUGUCUACCUUGACAAGCAGAAGAGUAGCCUAGCUAACGGGAAAACGAAGCUUUCGGGGGAAACUUUGGACAGUAUUUCGAACAAGAAAUCGGAAGUGAUUCCUAAAGACAUAAACGAACUAAAGGGAAUGCCCAUCUCGAUACCUGUUGUUGAAAAAAUGAGAUAUGUUGGACAGUGUAAUCCGUCAGCUGAUUUUGAAGGUUCUUCAAAGUCUCACUCAAUGGACAAUAAAACGUCGUACACAGUCAAUACUUGUUCUAGUUCAGAUGCGGAGAAGUCAAGAGUGCCUGCUCGCAAUUUAGUAGAAGCCGUGGCUAAUGAAAUUAAGUUAGAUAUGUUUAAACUACCGGCCGAUGCGGGGCAUAUUGUUAGCUCGUAUUUGAGGCAAAUCGGCAAGUCAAAGUCGGAUAAGGAGAGCAAGCCUAUUUCUAGGCGCAAUAGCUCAAAUUCUGUGACCGAUGCUGGUAAAGGUAGCUCCGAGGGAACCAAGUCUUCUUCGGGGUCAUACCUUAGGAGAACUAAGAUAUCUCCUACGAAGGAACAAUCCAAGAAUGCAUUCUCCAAUCCAAAUACCAGCUCUUCGAACAACAAUUCUUUAGAUGUUGCCUCUCGAUCGAUGCAAUCAACACAAACUAACCCUCCUGAGAUUUCGACAAAUAAAGACUUUAAGGAUAAUAAAGUUAUUCAAUUUACUAGGCAAGAUAGUACAGCUUCUAGUAUUGGUAGCAUAUUGUCGAGGCAAGGAAGCUUUGCUACGAUUAGCAGUACACUGAGGAAGAAUAAGGAUAAGGUGUUCGAUGAAUACUCACUGUAUAGUUCCUUAAAGAAGGAUCUCGACAGACAAGACAGUUUUGGUUCUGAUGCUAGUACCUUGAAGAGAACUGAUCUUUACCAUACGGAUAGUUUCUGUUCAAACGACAGCACCCUGAAGAAAGAUGAAUUGUCCAGGUUCGCAGGAAUCGAUUCGGAUUUAGUUGGCACUGAAUCGACACUAGACAGCGAACAGAGCCAUAGGAUACGUAACAACAAUGAUAAUGAGAAACCAAACAACGAAUCAAGACCCGAUGCUACGUGUAUUUUUAACAGUGCUUUCGUUGUACAGCCCAGCUCUUUAGUGGAUUUCACCGAGUGCUAUAAAAACGUGGAUUUGUGCAGGCAAGACAGUUUUGGCUCUGACAGUGCAGUGGGGACAAUGAAAAGCGACUUCUUUGCUAACCUAGAUCUUCAUAAACUGAGAGAUGAAGUUGCUGAUACGGAAAUGUGUUGUGCUUUGGAGCGAUGCUGUACUCCUAACCGACCUGUCACACCAGUGGAGAGCACAACUUUGUAAAAAUAUCAAAAGAUGGUAACGACUUACUACUUGCAAGAUUAAAAACUAAAUUACUGUUCACCUGUUUGGAGGAAUUUCUCUGAAGCUUCAAUGAGAGGCUCUCGCAUCAGUGUGCUAUAACUAUGACAUAAACUGGUAACCGAUGGUACUAGUAGAGCUCAUAUGGAUAUGGAUGUACAGUGUAGUCAAUUGGAACUGCAAAUUUGAUCUCAUAAUGUUGUACCUAAGGAUGAAAAUGCCACGGUUAUUUUAUGAGUCGAACCCCUUGUUUAGUGAUCAUACACCUUAUUUACAAAUUAUUCAUUCAGUAUUAAAGGUAGGGCCUUUGAUAUUGUUAAAUCCUACAGCAAUUUCCCAUUUUGCUAUAAUUUUAUCAUUGUGCGCUUUGAUUUUACCUCGAUUGAAAACAACUAUAUGUGUAAUCAUGUUUGUAUCCCAUCACAGGAAGGUAUUUGCAUGUUACUUGUCAGUAAUCGUGCAAGGAUGUUAACAGGCAGGAAAAAGCCAAGUUACUGAUAAAAAAAGUCUGAUUUAUUUAUCGAAGGACCAACAGAGUGAUGUGAAGAGGUUGGAUAAAUUGAUAAAUAGGUACUUUUGGUCAAAUUUCAAAGAAUCUCUUGACCGAUUUCUUGAGUUGAUAUUUCUUAAAUGAAGUGCAUGCAUCGGCUAAAAAUACAGGGAGAGCAGAGUGGAUUAUUCCUCGGUAACAAGCACAUUCCUUAAUUAUCUUGCCUCUAGAUUAACGUUCAAGUAAAAUGCAAUACACAGCGCAUACAGAAUUCGGUGUGUCCUGUUUGAAAAAAACAUUCCAUCCAAGAUAACUCCUGAAACCAGAAGAAGUUCACGACGAAUGUCGACUAUUGACGAGAUGUAUGUUCUAAAGCUUAAUGUAAUGGUAUACAAAGCAGACUGAAACACUCAAUCACCUUUAUUGGUGAAACGAAACCGUGUAAAAUUACGUCAGAAAAAGCUGAUAGUUUAACUACCUACAAAACUAAAGCAGUUUACAGUGAAAUCCACCGUGUUUAAUAAUCAGAUGAUUAGAACAAAGAAUUAUAGCGAUUUCUUUGGAUAUUCACUGGAAGAUCACACUCAUGCGUUAUUGAAUAUGCCUAAAGGCGAUAGAACCUACUGUUGCAUAUGUAAAUCAUGGUGUAAAAUAUUGAAUACUCCAAAAACAACACUUGUACAUAGACAGGGCAUUCUUAUGUUUAGAUUCACUAUUUUUAUCCUUGUUAACAUAUCAAUUUAUAAUCUUGCCGCUGUACAGUUGUAAAUUGUACCUCCUGUAAAACUGUAUGUAUUCGCACUUUAUUUUAUAUUUGUAAUAGUAGUAGUAGUAGAUGAAAAAAAUAUAAAGGACAGAGCAAUUAGACCAGUUCUCUGUCCAAUUAAGAACUAUUUGUUACUGUUUUUACACGAAUUAAUAGAAGUAUUCUCAUUAAAAUUCAUAUAAUUAAAAUUAUAGAAGUUCAGGUUUAUUAGGCAGUAAGGAAAAAUUCUGUGGCGAAAGUAUUAUUUCACUCAAACUUUAUAUAUCCAUCGAUAAUAAAUGCAUCUUCAACGAUAACAAGUCUGCGCAUUGAACAAUUCUAAAUAGGCAUCUACAUGUAUACCGUUAAAUUUCAAGCAUUUACAUGUAAUCAUUACUAAAUGGUCAUACUAAAAUGUUAAUAAUCCCUUAUUUGUUGUACAUACCUGCUGGAUAAAAUAAUGAUAUGUGAGAAACGGUGCAUAUAUAUUAUAAAAAAAGGAUACUAAACUCUUGUCGCAAUUUAUAUGUAAUUCAGUAAUUAAUACCGACAACGAAGAAUUAACAAUGGUGGCCAAAAAUGAGGAAUGACAUGUACGAAGCAUUCAUUAAUUUAUAUAUAUAUAUAUAUAUAUAUAUACAUAAGAAUGUACAUAGCUUAUAAUUAAUCACACCUUCGGAACGCCGGUUUCAGAAUAAUCGUACUACCAUGCGUCUUCACUGGUGAAGCAAACAGAAUCAAAUAUAUUAUUAAUUUUGUUAUAUUUUCAUAAUAGAGUCGUCUAUUCAUUCUCAUUUUAAUCGCUACGUUCUUAAAUGGGAAAUAAUUUGGAGCGUCUCCGAGAGAAAGAAUGUUAAUUGCAGGACGAGCCGCUGGCUUUCACACCGCACGGUUUAACCCCCAGAGAAAUAUAUUUUUUAAUUCAUAUCUUUAUCAGUACACGUAGACUAGACAUUUCUUUGUAUCGACAUUGCGAAUCUCUAGUGACGGAUCUUUAAAAUUACUUAACGGAUCUACGCAUUUUCUUGUAGCAAAAAAAAAUACUAAACCGAAUGACAUUAUUCUGCAGUUGAAUGAACGCCUGCGACUAUCAGAUUUGCGACGAAAAAUGUACUUAAUUGCGAAAUCGAUCGAAUAUACUUCUUUAUACGAAUGCGAUUUUCUGGUAUAACGUUUGGAAAGGGCACGACGCCAUAAAAUAAUGUUUUAUUACAGGGCUUUUAUAAGCCAUGUUUCCUUAAGAUGAUGUGAAAGUGGAGUCAAAAGGGUUAAAGUUUAUGAAUCAUUUCUCCAAACUGGGUAUACCGAAUCGAUUCAAACUUGACAAUAUAAAUAUGGAGAUUAUAAGAAAA
rnacentral:misc_RNA from 1 species